rnacentral:rRNA from 1 species
GAUGAACGCUGGCGGCGUGCCUAAUACAUGCAAGUCGAGCGAACGGACGAGAAGCUUGCUUUUCUGAUGUUAGCGGCGGACGGGUGAGUAACACGUGGAUAACCUACCUAUAAGACUGGGAUAACUUCGGGAAACCGGAGCUAAUACCGGAUAAUAUUUUGAACCGCAUGGUUCAAAAGUGCAACACGGUCUUGCUGUCACUUAUAGAUGGAUCCGCGCUGCAUUAGCUAGUUGGUAAGGUAACGGCUUACCAAGGCAACGAUGCAUAGCCGACCUGAGAGGGUGAUCGGCCACACUGGAACUGAGACACGGUCCAGACUCCUACGGGGGGCAGCAGUAGGGAAUCUUCCGCAAUGGGCGAAAGCCUGACGGAGCAACGCCGCGUGAGUGAUGAAGGUCUUCGGAUCGUAAAACUCUGUUAUUAGGGAAGAACAUAUGUGUAAGUAACUGUGCACAUCUUGACGGUACCUAAUCAGAAAGCCACGGCUAACUACGUG